rnacentral:pre_miRNA from 1 species
AACAGCUGGGGAUCUUGUUAAAAUGCAGAUUCUGAUUCAGUAGGGGUCUGGGAUCCUGCACUUCUAACAAGCUCCCAGGUGAUGCGGA